ACGUAAAAAUUUAUUUGAUUUUUAAUAGUUGUGUAGUCUUCCUCUGGAUGGCUCAGUAUUAGAGUAAAUGUAGUGCACAUUGUGGUCACCAUCUCACUAUAUAAUGUUGUGCUUGUGAUGUAUGCUGCUGCUGCACUAGUUGACCUCACCACUAAUAGAAUGAACAUUAUUGCAUGUGACAGGCACAGUUGUGGGCAGUACCUUCGGCUGGCCAGUGGUAGGAGGUGGCACCGACUUCGACGUCAAUCCUUUUGCUGACUUUGGCGUGUCAGGCACCCCUACUCCUUCCCUUCCCUCUCAGGGUGGUGUCAGUUCUCAGGACACCACCACCACUACCAGUGGCGCAGCUGAUCUCUUGGGUGGCUUGGACCCCCUGGCAGAUGUUGGCGGCAGUGGUCCGCCUUCCCAGGCACCCACCAUGCCACCCGCUCAGACCCAAGCAUUUGAUGGAUUUGGGGACAUUCUGAAACCUGAGGGAAGUGUUGGUGGUAGUCCAGCAGCUACUGUUGUUGGUGUAGCAACCACUGUACCAUCUUCGCAGCCUGGCAAACUCAUCAGCAGUGAUUUAGAUAUGUCCUUAUCAUCUCUGGUUGACAACCUCAACAUUAAGGGCCCUUCAGCACAAAAGUGAGUCAGAGAGUAUUUGAAUUAUGAGUUAUGUGAAGAACCCCACCAAGUAGUAAUAUUUUUAGCAGGAACUUUUUUGGGUGUAUUUAGGCAAAGUUAGUGUCAUAUUAAACUACUUGAAUAAAUGUUACACUUUAAUAACUGGAAAUAAUUGGUCACAGAGUAGAAAAUAUUUUUCCCUCAGCUUUUUUAUACAUAUCACUUUCAAAGUCAUACAUUAUUUUAUAAUGAACACUAUUAUCCUUUGUGUGCACAUUACUGGUUUUCUUUACAUCAUAGUGUGCGCUGAUGAAUCAUGUGGAUAAUUAACAUGUCUCCAUAUACACUGCCUUUCCAAAUACAGCAGGGCCCCACUUUACGGCGUUUCACUUUACGGCGUUCCGCUAAUAUGGUCAUUUCAAAUUAUGACCAAAACUAGCUAUACGGCUCCCCCCACCUGACUUUCUAAUACGGUCACCGUGCCCCACCCUGUUUGUUUACAUUCUUCGUGAGCUCAGUAAGCACUAAGUCUCUCCAUUUUGUCUGGAAACUCCAAAAUUUCAAACGUUUUUAAAAGUUAUUUCAUAUUUUAUAUAUACUUUGCUAAUUAUACUUAUGUAUACCUGUACUUAAAUAAACUUACUUACUGUGCUGGCAUGCAGGUACACAUUAAAAUCAGUAAGAGUGUCUUAUGUCUCCAGACGUCAUAUUAGUAAUGAUGAUAAUAAUCACCGAGUCUCAUUUAAAUGUCGUAUAUUACGUUAAAUACACAUCUUCAUUAAUCCAUCUAUGAUAUUUUUUCAAAAUUAUAUAAUAAACACGAUACAUAACAUAAGAUGAUAA